rnacentral:rRNA from 1 species
UCGAGGAUCUUCGGCAAUGGGCGCAAGCCUGACCGAGCGACGCCGCGUGUGCGAUGAAGGCCUUCGGGUUGUAAAGCACUGUCGAGGGGGAGGAAAGCCCGCAAGGGCCUGACCUAUCCCUGGAGGAAGCACGGGCUAAGUUCGUGCCAGCAGCCGCGGUAAGACGAACCGUGCGAACAUUGUUCGGAUUCACUGGGCUUAAAGGGCGCGUAGGCGGCUACACAAGUCGGGGGUGAAAUCUUUCGGCCCAACCGGAAAAGAGCUUUCGAUACUGUGUAGCUGGAGGGGGGUAGGGGCACGCGGAACUUCCGGUGGAGCGGUGAAAUGCGUAGAUAUCGGAAGGAACGCCGGUGGCGAAAGCGGCGUGCUGGACCCCCACUGACGCUGAGGCGCGAAAGCCAGGGGAGCAAACGG